AAGCGAUCGACGGCUGUGAGGCAAUACC
rnacentral:piRNA from 1 species